UAUAGGUAAAAACUAACUUUCGGAACUUAAGUUCUGAGGAAAGUCCAGCCACUGCAAAAAAAGUCACUUUUGCAAGAAAGAACUUGAAAAAGUUGGCAACUGCUCAGAAACGAUAUCUCCUAUGGGUAGGAUGAUAUUGGCGAAAUUUCCUGAGAAGGAAAUGAGCUAACCCAAAGACGUUCCUAUAGGAUAGAUUGAAACGGCAAGUCCUGGCUAGUGCAAGUCUUUUACAGACGCUUAGUAAAAUGUUAGUAUGAAUUAUUCCUUUUAAGGAAAUUCAACAGAAGCUGGCUUACAAUUUAUCUAUA
rnacentral:RNase_P_RNA from 1 species